rnacentral:rRNA from 1 species
AGCUGGGUUUAGAACGUCGUGAGACAGUUCGGUCCCUAUCUGCCGUGGGCGUUGGAAGAUUGAGAGGGGUUGCUCCUAGUACGAGAGGACCGGAGUGAACGCACCACUGGUGUUCGGGUUGUCAUGCCAAUGGCAUUGCCCGGUAGCUAAGUGCGGAAAAGAUAAGCGCUGAAAGCAUCUAAGCGCGAAACUUGCCUCAAGAUGAGUCUUCCCUGGACCUUUAAGGUCCCUGAAGGAACGUUUAAGACUAAGACGUUGAUAGGCUGGGUGUGUAAGUGCA